GAUCAUGGCUCAGGAUGAACGCUAGCGGCAGGCUUAACACAUGCAAGUCGAGGGGCAUCGGGAGUAGCAAUACUUGCCGGCGACCGGCGCAAGGGUGCGUAACGCGUGAGCAACAUGCCCGUAUCAGGGGGAUAAUCCAUGGAAACGUGGUCUAAUACCCCAUAGUAAUUAUGUAAGGCAUCUUAUAUAAUUUAAAGCUUUGGUGGAUACGGAUUGGCUCGCGUGACAUUAGCUGGAUGGUAAGGUAACGGCUUACCAUGGCUACGAUGUCUAGGGGUUCUGAGAGGAAGGUCCCCCACACUGGAACUGAGACACGGUCCAGACUCCUACGGGAGGCAGCAGUGAGGAAUAUUGGACAAUGGAUGGAAAUCUGAUCCAGCCAUGCCGCGUGCAGGAAGACGGCCCUAUGGGUUGUAAACUGCUUUUGUAUGGGAGCAAUAAGGGCUACGUGUAGUCCGAUGAGAGUACCAUACGAAUAAGCACCGGCUAACUCCGUGCCAGCCGCCGC
rnacentral:rRNA from 1 species